rnacentral:rRNA from 1 species
AGAGUUUGAUCAUGGCUCAGAUUGAACGCUGGCGGCAGGCCUAACACAUGCAAGUCGAACGGUAACAGGAAGCAGCUUGCUGCUUCGCUGACGAGUGGCGGACGGGUGAGUAAUGUCUGGGAAGCUGCCUGAUGGAGGGGGAUAACUACUGGAAACGGUAGCUAAUACCGCAUAAUGUCGCAAGACCAAAGAGGGGGACCUUCGGGCCUCUUGCCAUCGGAUGUGCCCAGAUGGGAUUAGCUUGUUGGUGGGGUAACGGCUCACCAAGGCGACGAUCCCUAGCUGGUCUGAGAGGAUGACCAGCCACACUGGAACUGAGACACGGUCCAGACUCCUACGGGAGGCAGCAGUGGGGAAUAUUGCACAAUGGGCGCAAGCCUGAUGCAGCCAUGCCGCGUGUAUGAAGAAGGCCUUCGGGUUGUAAAGUACUUUCAGCGGGGAGGAAGGGAGUAAAGUUAAUACCUUUGCUCAUUGACGUUACCCGCAGAAGAAGCACCGGCUAACUCCGUGCCAGCAGCCGCGGUAAUACGGAGGGUGCAAGCGUUAAUCGGAAUUACUGGGCGUAAAGCGCACGCAGGCGGUUUGUUAAGUCAGAUGUGAAAUCCCCGGGCUCAACCUGGGAACUGCAUCUGAUACUGGCAAGCUUGAGUCUCGUAGAGGGGGGUAGAAUUCCAGGUGUAGCGGUGAAAUGCGUAGAGAUCUGGAGGAAUACCGGUGGCGAAGGCGGCCCCCUGGACGAAGACUGACGCUCAGGUGCGAAAGCGUGGGGAGCAAACAGGAUUAGAUACCCUGGUAGUCCACGCCGUAAACGAUGUCGACUUGGAGGUUGUGCCCUUGAGGCGUGGCUUCCGGAGCUAACGCGUUAAGUCGACCGCCUGGGGAGUACGGCCGCAAGGUUAAAACUCAAAUGAAUUGACGGGGGCCCGCACAAGCGGUGGAGCAUGUGGUUUAAUUCGAUGCAACGCGAAGAACCUUACCUGGUCUUGACAUCCACGGAAGUUUUCAGAGAUGAGAAUGUGCCUUCGGGAACCGUGAGACAGGUGCUGCAUGGCUGUCGUCAGCUCGUGUUGUGAAAUGUUGGGUUAAGUCCCGCAACGAGCGCAACCCUUAUCCUUUGUUGCCAGCGGUCCGGCUGGGAACUCAAAGGAGACUGCCAGUGAUAAACUGGAGGAAGGUGGGGAUGACGUCAAGUCAUCAUGGCCCUUACGACCAGGGCUACACACGUGCUACAAUGGCGCAUACAAAGAGAAGCGACCUCGCGAGAGCAAGCGGACCUCAUAAAGUGCGUCGUAGUCCGGAUUGGAGUCUGCAACUCGACUCCAUGAAGUCGGAAUCGCUAGUAAUCGUGGAUCAGAAUGCCACGGUGAAUACGUUCCCGGGCCUUGUACACACCGCCCGUCACACCAUGGGAGUGGGUUGCAAAAGAAGUAGGUAGCUUAACCUUCGGGAGGGCGCUUACCACUUCGUGAUUCAUGACUGGGGUGAAGUCGUAACAAGGUA